GCUGGAAUAGCUCAGUUGGUUAGAGCGUGUGGCUGUUAACCAUAAGGUCAGAGGUUCAAGCUCUCCUUCUAGCG
rnacentral:tRNA from 1 species